GCGCCCGUAGCUCAGGUUGAUAGAGCAACUGCCUUCUAAGCAGUAGGUCAGGGGUUCGAGUCCCUUCUGGCGCGCCA
rnacentral:tRNA from 1 species